rnacentral:piRNA from 1 species
UGACACUACUGGAGGAGACAUACCCUUUGU